AGAACAACUAUCGGCAACGGAUAUCUCGGCGCUCGCAUCGAUGAAGAACGUAGUGAAAUGCGAUACUUGAUGUGAAUUGCAGAAUCACGUGAACCAUCGAGUCUUUGAACGCAAGUUGCACCUGAAGCUUUCUGGUCGAGGGCACGUCUGUCUGGGCGUCAUGC
rnacentral:rRNA from 1 species